AAAAACAAUAAGUUCAUACAACUCCAAGAACAUAAAAUAAAAUAUAAAACCCAUGUCCCUGUGUUAGGGCUGCAUCCAGCCCUAGAGAGGAGAUCAGCCUUCCAUGGAGUUGGAGACGGCAGCAGCAGCACAGCAGCGGGCUCCCAUCUCUUUCUUCUCUUUUCUGAUUCCUUCCUCCCUUUCUCUCCUCCUUAUUUUUUUAUUUCUCUGGUACUCGGCCUGCGAGGAGAUGAGAUGCCAUGGGAUCCGUCUCAACCCCCUUUUAUAGCUUCACCAGCGAAGGGAUAAGGGUAGAGGAACGGCUGCCGCGUGCGUAGAGGAAGAAACCGACGCUGCUUCCACGCGGAGGAGAUGCGGACGAAAGCCUUGGACGCGGGAUGAAAUGCUUGAUUUUCGGAGAAGUUAAUCCUCUGUUCUGUUGGGAUGCAGGGGCUGUUUGGAUCUCGGCUGAUAACAGGGAGAUGAAGCUCGAUCGCAGAUGAUUGAGGAUGAAGCCGAAUCGUUGCAGAUGCUGGGAGGAAAACAGAACGACGGAGCUUGAUUUGCGGACGGGAUUAGCUGAGAGAUAGCUGGUUCAUCCCGUGGAUAAGCUGACACUCUGUUCCAAACGGGAUAGGCUGCGGAUGUUUGGGAGAUAUGGGCGAAGAGGAUCAUGGGAUAAGCUU
rnacentral:lncRNA from 1 species